UCUCAAAAUAUGAACAGUGACAUUGCAAAAUCUUCACCCUUGUCUAAGCAAAGCCUAGAAUUUGCCCUUUAUUUCUCUCUCACUCUCCUUAUUUCUCUCCAAUUGCUCCACCUGCAUGAGCCACACCCAAAAUUUCACCAAAUGGGGUGGCUACAAUCCCUCCUCUCUCCACUCAAGAAAAUGUGGCUCAGAUUGCAUUCCACUCAAAGGAAGAGAAGAGGGAUCUACAUUCUGUAUGAAGAUGUCAAAUCUUGCCCCUAUGAAGACGUGCACGUCCUCUGGUCUAUAUUAGUGGAAUCACAUCCACCUUGUUUGCCAUCCAAAAAAUGAAGACUCUGUCUAUGCACUGCAGAGUACAGAAGGACACACGUAAUGUACAUAAAAGUAUUUAAUGUCCAAGACCCAUACAGUAUUUUCUUUCUUUGUUUUUCUUUCCUUCUCCUUUCUUCUUUUAACUUUUGUAGCACCAAUAGAGAGUGAUUAUCCUCCUUGCGAUUUUUGUGUUCAAUAAAGCUCUCACUACGUGCAUAUUUAAAAACCUA